CGUUUUUCAACCACCUCGCGCCACCCGCUAUCGCGUCAGCUCGCGCCGGUGGCGUCAGUCGUGCGGUUGUGUAGUUCUGAGUGACAUGUGCCGAAAAUCGCAAAAACAUGCCUACUGAUAAACGAAAGACCGACAGAGGUAAGGCGAGUCGCGAGAUUUACGAUCUCGCUGCUGAAGAAGUCACUUUACGACACAAAAGUCUCCGUGAAGCGACUUCGAGUUACAACCUGAACCACACCUCCCUCUACAGAUAUAUAAAAAAAAAGACUGCUUAUGAAGCUGACGAAACUGUGGGUGCUCCAACGAUUGGAUACCCCGAGAAAACUGUUUUUACUGCUUCAGAGGAGAAGAUACUCUGUGACUAUCUUUUAAACUGCGCUGCUGCUAAUUUUUGCCUGAGUAAUAAGGAAACCAGAACUUUUGUCUAUAAGUUGGCUGUGGAAUAUAAUAAAAACAUUCCGUCUUCUUGGACACAGAAUCAAAUGGCUGGAGAGGUUUGGCUCCUCCAAGAAAAGGAACUCAAACAAAUAGACGCAAAGGGAAAUCUGCUAUCUUAACUGACACUCCCGUAAAAGAUGAACUAGCUGCAAUCGAAGCAGCUAGAACGGCUAAGGAAAAAGUGAAGAAACCUAACUUUGAAGAAACUAAAGCAAGAAAAAGAUCAAAACCAGGGAGUAAAACUAAAAAGGUUAAGGUUGUCAAGAAAAAGAGAGGAAACAAAGACAGUGAUGAAG